CUUCUGUUGCCUCUUCAUCUUCUUCUACUAAAAGGUCUAACUUUCCUUCUUUAAGGCAAUCACAUGCCCAGUCUGCAAGAACUAUCUGACCUUCUUUCUUAUCAAUAUCAAAGUUCUUUCUACAGCAUACUAGCUCCAGCAAAAGAAUGCCAAAGCUGUAGGUAUCUACUUUGGUUGUGACAGGCAGGUUCUUGAACCAUUCAGGAGCUACAUACCCUUUGGUACCCCUGAUUGCUGUAGUUGUUUUAGUUUGGUCUGUCUUCAACAGCUUGGCUAGUCCGAAAUCAGAAAUCCUUGCAUUAAAAGAUUUGUCGAGGAGGAUAUUUUGAGGCUUGAUAUCACAAUGGAUUAUCUGGGAGCUGCAUUCUUCAUGGAGGUAAAGGAGCCCUCUGGCUAUAUCGAAAGCAAUUUGCAUUCUUCGGUACCAGUUAGGCCUUGAAUCUCCAAAGAGAAAAUUGGCCAAAGAGCCAUUGCUCAUGUAUUCGUAGACCAGAAGGCGAUGUUGCCCUUCGUUACAGAAUCCAACAAGUUGAACCAAAUUCUUGUGAUUUGUUCUUCCAAUAACUUUCACUUCUGUAUUGAAUUCUUUGUCGCCCUCUCCGGCCAUCUUAUCUAACUUCUUCACUGCAAUGAGUGGUUUGUCUUCGUUCGCUAGUACCCCUUUGUAAACAGUUCCAAAGGCACCGCUACCAAGUUCUUCCUUGAAUCCUCCUGUAGCUCUUUCGAGCUCACUGUAAGUGAAAUUCUGCAUAUUCAUAUCUGGCAUGAGACGGUGUUGCGGUGUCAUUUUUUGUUGCUGUCGGUUCCAUCGAGAAAAGAACACAUAGAUCCCUAGCAGUGAGAGAACAAUUAGAAAGAUGGAGCUACCUAAAAGCACCGAGCCUGUUGUGAUCAAAUUCGAUCUAUCACACUUCUUUGCACUUGAACCUGCAGUCGAGUUGCCUGUCCUUACUUUUAUCAGGGCUUUUCCACCAACACUUGGAUCUGUUACCCCAUUCGAGAGAGGGACUCUCUUCAUCCAACAUUGUCCAGCAGUGUUAAAAAUGGCAACAGCACAAUAACAGUCACUUAAGCAAGCCUGUCUGCACCAAUCCUCGUCCACCGAACCAAACAUUUCAUAAUCAUUAAAUGGCCAGUUUGUGUUAGGCAUUUCCUUGAUCUCAAAGCUAUCUAUUUCUUGCGAUGGAUGGUCACAAUCCUGUGAAAUAAAGUCUUUCUUGCAUCCCUUCCUCUCAUCAUUUGGAUCAAAGAAAGUGUAACCAGGAGGACACUUGCAACUUGGUCUUUGGUCUUCUCCUAAUCUGCAAUAGCUGUUGAAACCGCAAGCUCCACCGCCUUGUUGUCCCGCAAUUCUCAAGCAGAUAUUUGAUGGUAUGGAGUUUGACAAAGUCGUCCAGGCCAUAGCCCUGCUUCUGCUACUGGAAUCAGUCUUUGGAUAAACAUAUUGCCUAAGAACUCCAUCAUAGUCUAUGGUAGCCCUCAAGUAGAAAUCUUGCAUUGAUACUGAAUUAGAGAAUACCGAAUUAAGCAUAGUGCCAUUUUGGGCUACGAGGUACAUAUAGCCAGACUGGUUAAAGACCACCCUAUAACCGCUUCCAAUAGAAUCCUGGGUAGACCAAUAAGCAAAAUUUGAGGUAGUUAAUGGAUAGUGUGUGGUGUACAGGAUGAGAUUCCCGUCAGCUUGUAGAAUGAACUUGUAUCUUCCUUCUGAAUAAUUCUUAUUUUCCAGGUAGGGAGCAAUUAGUUGAGCACCUAAAUUCAGAUUUUGUGUGGGCAACAGUGUGUCUGUUGGUUCAUCAAAACUCUGCCACAAAUUCGCACCAGCUUGGCUUGCUACCACGAAGUUUCCCGAGUCAAGCAUGGUUGCAUAGGCGGUUCCACUUCCCCCCGAUUGUGGACGGAUCCAUAUUUGUCUGCCUGAUUGAUCAUUUAGAAUCAACUCACCAUCUGCCGUAAGUUGUACUCUUGAUCCACCCUGAACUAGAUCAUUUCUAUUAGCAGACCAGACCAUGGUUCUUUCAGGUAUUUUGUUGAACCAUAUGGCAAGUAAGUAGCCAGCAUCACCAACUUUCUGGAAACCAAAAGCAAAUUCGCCAGAUGGUGAAGUCCAAGAAAGGUUAUCACUUGCAGCAGUGAGAGAUGACCCCAAAGAUAUGUUUCUGUAAGUCUGACCAUUGGUGGAGAAUGGCAGAAGCAGAAGAAGAAGGAAGAAAAAACAAUAUGGUAGUUGAAAAUCCAUGAUGUGAAGAUACUAUAUUUUAAGACAUUGCAUGAUUUAGGGCACAGGUCCUCUUCUCUAUUUAUGCUGAGUAUUACAGUUGGAAGAAAUAUUGAGUCUCCAACUAUCCGCGUACGCAUCAAAUGAAUAAAUUAAUGAAGUAAAAGUAAAGCAUUAGAAAAUUGUAAGUCUGAUCAACGGUCAAGUUUUCCAAUAUUAACGUGAAGAAAGGGGUGUUCAAAGAAGAGAAAUUAUUAGCAAUAAGUCUUAGAGCGAUUACUAAUGCCAUUGGAAUAAACGGUGUGGCCCUUUUCUUCUGACCACUUCAACUAUAAAGGCUUCACUGUUUCUCUUGAUUUAGGAUUGCAUGUGCUACAAAUUUUCUUCAUUGAAAAUCUCUAAAAUCCUGGUCUUUCUGAGAAAAUCCAACUAGAACUUGGAGAAAGAAAUGCAAAAAUGAAGUGUUUUCAUACUCAAUAUCGUUAAAUAACCGGUUCCUAAAAAGUUAUACAUUCUAAGUCCUUUGAAGAAAUUCUUAAUUAUAAAUCUGAAGAAACAAAAGGACUCGAGAAAAAUAACUUAUUUGAUCAUGAUAACAGUUGUUAAAGAAUAAAUUAAAUUCAAUUUAAAAGCUAAAGCAAAUUAGCACAAAAUUAAAAUAAUAAUUUAACUAAUAAGAUUCCAUAUCUAGUUUAAUCAAAAAAUUUAAGAUAUUGAUGAUAAUUUAAGAUAUAAUUUAUAUUAUUGUAAAAUAAAUAUUACUAAUGAAAUUAAUAAGAAGCUUUUUUUUUUAAACCAUUCCAAUUACACAGUUUUAACUGCUUGGAUUUAAGAUUAUUCUACAAUUUUUUUUAAUUAAAAAUCCCUAAAAUCCUAAUAACAAGUUAUAUAUAAAAAACUCAAAUUUAUUCAUGUUGAUUCUUCAUUUUCAUAUUUAUAUUUUCCUCUCAUAAAAUAAAACACUUCAAAGAUUCAAGAAAGGUAAGGUAUUUGAUGAAAAGGAUGACAUUAAUUUAGUUCAUUUAUAAACUACAAUUGUGAAGUUCGAGAUCUUUAAAAUAUAAGGGUACAAAAAGAAAAUUGUUUCAUUUACAGGGGCAAAUGAUAAAGUUUACCCUUUUGCUAAUUUGCCACCGAAUCGUGCAUGAACACAAACAACGAGGACAAAGCAACGACAUGUCUUUCAUGUUGGUCCAGAGACUUUGGACUAGCUACGGAUGAUAACGAGUACAUAUGAAUCGAGUUUUUGUUAUAUUCAUUUCUGAUUAAUUAUUAUUAAUCAAGUUAAAAAUUUAUUAAUGAAUCGAGAAAUUCAGUGCUGGUGAAUUAUAAUUCCUUUUUGAACACGUUGAAAUAGGAAAAUCCUUGUAAAAAAGGAAUUCAUGCACUUAUUCCCUUCUUCUCUUUCUUUCCUUAACCCGUUAUUUUCUUUAGCUGAGCUGAGAGAGUGAGAAAGAAAGAAAAAAUCUAAGUACUUCGCUAGCUGCCGACUUUACGUUGAUUGUGUUUGUUUUGGUGUUUAAAAAAUAUUUUUAAAUUUUAAAGUAAAGAAAAAGAUAUUAAUUUAAAGAAAAAAAUUAAAAAAAUUUAAAUUUUUUUAAAACGUUUUUAAAAUGUAAAAACAAAUAAAUUUUUUUUCUUUUUUUUUAGAGUAUAUUUAUUUAUUUAUUUAUCCAACCAAAACUUUCUCUUGAAGAUCACGUGAAUGAAGCCUGCCCCGUUUCACAACGCUUUCACAUAGGAAACAUUUGUCAAGACAGCACUGUCGUUUCUUCUCCUCAGCUGAGAGCAAUGUAGUAGUCAUCAAUGAGAAUGUUCUGCGGCUUGAUAUAACAGUGAAUGAUUUGGGGGCUCCAAGUUUUUUCUUAAUGCAAAUAUCUAAAAAGGAUAAUUAAAAUAAACUCUUUUAAGAUUGAUUUUUACUUUUGUUGUAACGCAUUUUUGGGUCCCCACACAAGAAAAAAAAUACAAAAAAAAAUCAAUAAAUAAUAAUAUAUAUAAAAAAAUAUAGCAGUGAAAAGAGGAUGUCAGAGCACCUAGAAAAUGACCAAAAAAUAGUUGAGGAGGUUCAAAAAAAAAUAUAAAGAUUGGAAUUUGAUAGUACGUAUAUCAUUGACUAGUGAGAGCACUAUUGAUAAAGAAAAUUUUAUUUGAGGAAGAAAAGUACAAAAUCAGAUGUUUAUGGACUCAAUUAAAUUUUAUUAAAGGUUUAAUUGAAUUUAUGGAGGAUUGAUUACAAGAAAAAAAAAUGAUUUUUAAGUCCAUUUAGGCUUUAAUUAGAAGAAAUUAAAGUUCUGGGGUCAAAUUAUAAUUUUUAAGAGUUGAUUUGGUCAAAUCAGGGACUUAAUUAUGUAAAUAUUGAAGUUCGAUGGCCUAUUAGGGACUUGAUUGAAGAAAUCCAAAACCAAGGACCAAACUAAAAAUCACGCAAAUUGAAGGACUGACUUGAAAUCUGACGCAUUUUGGCGCCAGUUUCCAUUUAAAUGAAACGGCGCGUUUUGGGAAAAACGACGUCGUUUCAUGCAUUUUCCACAAAAAAAAAGGGAAAACAAAAAUUGUCGUUUUUAGGCGGCACUGUUUCUCCUUCUUCUUCCCUUGGACAUGCAACAGGGGAAAAGAAGUUUUUGUUUUUUCUUCCUUGUUUCUUCCUCUCUCCCCCUCCCAACGUGCUCUGUUAAAACCAAAACCGGACGCCAUCCGGACCUCCUCAUAAUGACAAAACAGAGAAGUCGUGCCCUGCAAGCGACACCCCCAUUGGCCACCUCUCUCGGUGCCGUGACAGAGCAGGAGGACCUCGCACCCUAUGCAAAAUGAUGGGACGGGGCAGGGUUGAUCAUAUUCCCUCUGCCCCUAUAAAUACUGCCCGAACAGAGGGAAGAAAGGGAGGAGGAUCAACGGGAAAGAAAAAAGAAUAGGGGAGAGAGGAAGAAGAGAGAGGAGCGGAAGAAGAGGAAAAGAGAGAAACUGAAAGAGAGAGACAGGACAGUGAAAGAGCCGAAAGAAAGAAAAAAAAUAGAGAAGGGGAAUAGAACAAAGGGGACAGAACAUAGAGGGAAGAAUAAGAAAAGAAAAGAGAAGGAGAACAAAGAGAUGAGUGAAUGAGAACUGAAACGGGAAGAGGAAGAUUUGCUUGAGUGAUAGCAUAAAAAGAGCGAAAACAAACGAGGGGAAGAAAAAACAGAGACCGCGGGCUCUGCACAGAGGAGAAGAAGAAAAGACAAUCGCGCCACCACCUGGAAUCAUCGUCAUUUCUCCUCCCAACCGCUGCCCCAGUCACCUUCCACCACCGCUGACGACCAGAACCAUGUUUUCCCGCUUCAGGUAACGUGAGCAAUUCAUGUUUUGCAGCAAAUGAAGUUUAAUUAGCUAGUUAUUGUGCUGUGCACAGUAACGAGCUAAUUAUAUUUGGCUGGUUACUGUGCGCAACACAGUAACCAGCACUUUUGUUCGUUUUGGGCUGGAACAUCAGCCGAGCCCACGCGGCUGGGCUCAGUCCAGCCUUGUUGCUAGGCCAAUACAGGCCCAGCUCAGAUAAUUGAACCGGGUCCGACCUAGUUUCAUUUUUUAAAAAAAAUUAAAAAAAUAAUAAUGAUAUGUUUUCGAAGAAAUUGCGAUUUCCUCUUGUAUUUUUCUUUGCCAUUUUGAUUAAUAUCGGUCUGUAUUUUCAUAUCGUAAAGAUACAAAUCUGAUAUUAAAAUUUAUAGUUUUUUUUUUAAAUAUUUUUGUUUUCAUGUCUACGGCCAAGUCUCUCGAAGCAAAAAAAAAUAAUAUUGUGUUUUAAUACAACAAAAAAACUUCAAUAUAUAUAUAUAUAUAUAUAUAUAUAUAUAUAUAUAUAUAUAUAUUAGCAUACAUUUUGCCUUUAAUAACCAAUUUAUUAAAGUAAUAAAAUCUUUAUAUUCAUUUCAAAUCUUUUAUUUUACUUAUUUCUUGUGAACAUGGAAAAUAAAAAAUAAUAAUUGAAAGCAGGCGUUUUAAGCCUUAUUGUACAAGAUCUAACACAUGAUGCCUGAAAUGAUAGGAAAUACAGAUUAUUCAAUACAAGGAACUACAGAUUAUUCAAUGCAAGGUAGAUAUGUAACAUUCAUUGGCCUUAGUUUCUGGAUAUAUAUAUAUAUAUAUAUAUAUAUAUAUAUAUAUAUAUAUAUAUGUGUGUGUGUGUGUGUGUGUGUGUGUGUGUGUGUGUGUGUGUGUGUGAAAAGAUUUAGAUUGUGCUGAUAAAUGAUGAAGGAUCAGGAGGAACAGAGACUUGAACACCUCCUUCUAACAUCUGCACAACUUUCUUCAUUCCAGGUCUUAAAGAUGGAUCUUCCUGAAUGCACCAAAUUGCAACCAUCACAAACCUCUCUACCCUUUUCAUGUCUUCCAUUGCCUCUCCGUCUUCUUCUACUAAAAGGUUCAACUUUCCUUCUUUAAGGCAAUCACAUGCCCAGUCUGCAAGAACUAUCUGAUGUUCUUGCAUUGCAUUAAUCUCAAAGUUCUUUCUGCAGCAAACUAGCUCCAGCAAGAGAAUGCCAAAGCUGUAGGUAUCUACUUUGGUUGUGACAGGCAGGUUCUUGAACCAUUCAGGAGCUACAUACCCUUUCGUCCCCCUGAUUGCUGUCGUUGUUUUGGUUUGGUCCGUCUUCAACAGCUUGGCUAGUCCGAAAUCUGAAAUCAUGCGUUUUAAGCCUUAUUGUACAAGAUCUAACACAUGAUAGGAACUACAGAUUAUUCAAUGCAAGGUAGAUAGGUAACAUUCAUUGGCCUUAGUUUCUGGACACACACACACACACGUGUGUGUGUGUGUUCAAAAAGAUUUAGAUUGUGCUGAUAAAUGAUGAAGGAUCAGGAGGAACAGAGACUUGAACACCUCCUUCUAACAUCUGCACAACUUUCUUCAUUCCAGGUCUUAAAGAUGGAUCUUCCUGAAUGCACCAAAUUGCAACCAUCACAAACCUCUCUACCCUUUUCAUGUCUUCCGUUGCCUCUUCAUCUUCUUCUACUAAAAGGUUCAACUUUCCUUCUUUAAGGCAAUCACAUGCCCAGUCUGCAAGAACUAUCUGAUGUUCUUGCAUUGCAUUAAUCUCAAAGUUCUUUCUGCAACAAACUAGCUCUAGGAAGAGAAUGCCAAAGCUGCAGGUAACCUUGGUUGUAACAGCCAAGUUCUUGAACUAUUCAAGAACUACAUACCCUUUGGAUAGUAAUGCGAGAUGCAUUCUUCAUGGAAGGAGCCCCCUGCUAGAAGAAAAUUAAUGUGGUAGCUUAUAUGGAUAAAUACUAAAUUGCAAGGCUAUUUAACAAGAAGAAAUUUUUAGAGGAAAGUAUGUUUUAUUAAGUGUUUUUCUUUUCUGUUCUUGUCUUAUAUUUAUAAUUAAAAGCCUAUUUAUAAAUAUAAAAUUUUAGACAAAUAAAAAAUUAAACUAAAUAAAAAAUAAUUUAAUAUAAUAAAAAAAUAAUUUUUUUGACUUAAUUAGUCAAAUAAUUUUCAACCGGUAAAUUAGUUCCUCUAUUUCAACUAGUCGAUUAGUUCCUUUAUUUAAAAAAAAAAACCAAAAAUUUAAUUUAUUUUCAACAUUCUCUAUUAAACUUGAUUUUUGAUAACUCCUAGCAUAUCUCUAAGCUUAGCAAAAACAUCAUGUUUGAGUGACUUUGUUAGAAUAUUUGUGACUUGGUCUUAGAUCUUGAUAUAUUUGACUUAAACUUCUUUUAAUUAUUUUUCAACUUUUAAUUACCUUAUACUUAUAAUUACAAGCCUAUUUAUAAAUAUAAAAUCCUAGACAAAUAAGAAAUUAAACUAAACAAAAUAUAAUUUAAUAUAAUAAGAAAAAGUAAUUUUUUUGACUUAAUUAGUCAAACAAUUUUCAACCGGUAGAUUAGUUCUUCUGUUUCAACUAGUCGAUUGGUUUUUUAAUUUAAAAAAAACCAAAAAAUUUAGUUUAUUUUCAACAUCCUCUAUCAAACUUGAUUUUUGAUAACUCCUAGCAUAUCUCUAAACUUGACAAAGAUAUCAUGUUUGAGUGACUUUGUCAGAAUAUUUGUGACUUGGUCUUAGAUCUUGAUAUAUUUGACUUAAACUUCUUUUAAUUAUCUUUAAACUUUUAAUUUCAUACAAUUUCAUCCCUGUCAAACUCAAUAAUCAACCCCAGAAUUUAACACCUUUUCUAAUUAGGUUAUUGAUUGUUGAUUUAUGCAAAUUAACCCUCAAUUGACCAUCAAUUACACUUUUAAUUGUCUUUAAUUUGACCCUUGAUUCUGUUGAUUUAAGUCCCAUACCUUUUACGAUUUGGUCUUUGAUUUUGUGUUUCUUUAAUCAAGUCCCUAAUUGCCUAACAAACUUUAAUAUCUAUGCAAUUAAGCCCUUGAUUUGACCAAAUUAUCUUUUUAAAAUUGCAAUUCAACCCCAUGACUUCAAUUCUUUCCAAUUAAAACCCAAAUUGAAUUCAAAAACCAACAUUCCUCAUAAUUAAACUUUCAAUAAAUUUAAUUAAACCCUAAAAAAAUACCAAUUGAGUUAUUAAACAUUCAAUUUUAAAUGUUUCUUCUCAAAUUGAAUUUCUCUUGUUAAUAAGGCAUUUAUCAAUCAAAAUUGAACUAUUAAUUUUUCAACUUUGGGCAUUUUGAUCUUCCUCAACUAGUUUUUGAAAAUUUUCUAGAUAUUUUUCAUGCUCUUCUUAUUGAUAUGUAUUUUAUUUUUUCAAAGUUUUUUAAUUUUUUAGUAUGGGGUCCCAAAAAUAGAUAACAAUAAUGUUGAUUUGACAAGUUAAUUUAGGUUGACUUGAGUCGAUUCAAUAUAUUUUUGUUUUAAUAUUUCUUAAAAAAUAUAAUCUUGGAAAUUUUUUAAUCAAACGAUGUUUUUAACAAUUGUUAAUUUUAAGUUAACCAAGUUAUAUUAGGUUAACUCAUAUAUAAUUUAAAUUAUUUUUAUCAAAAAACAUGUUAGAUACAUCUGCAUAUUUUUCUUUAUAUAUAAAAAAUUGAGCCAAUAAUUUAGUUAACAUCUCGUUGAGUAAUUUGUAAAGUGAAUUAAAAGUGAUCAUUGUUGGAAUGCUGCCUCCUAUAUAUUGAUUUUGAAUUAGAGCAUUUAUAUCUAAAUUUGUAAAUUCAGAAAAAGGAAUCGUUUUUUUAAAGAUUGAAUUCUAAAUAGUAGCUUAAGGAGCAAACUCAUUUAUCAUUUAAACUAAACCUUCAAAAUAAUAUAUUAUUAUUUAAAAUUAAAUUAAGUGGAAUAAUAAAUUAUAAAACCCUUUUGCUUAAUGCUAAUAUAUAAAUAUAAGAUUUUACUUGUUACUCUUUAAUAUGGAAAAAAAGAAAAGAAAAUAAAUAAGCGCAUGAAACUUAACACACGAAUCAAUCCAAUUUGAAAGUCAAUUAACACACGAAUCAAUCCAAUUUGAUUAAGUGUGUUAAUGUGCAUGGUACAAUUAACACACGAAUCAAUCCAAUUUGAAAGUCACAUUGCCAUCGACUACGUGUCAUACAUAAACAAGACAACAAAUGCAACGACUAGUCUUUUAUAUUGGUCUAAAAUUGUCUUUUACGCCGAAAUGAACCUUUUCUUCCUAUCAUUAUUAUAAUGGACUGGUCAACUUUUGUCUGCAAUUACUAAAUUUCUCAAGAUGUUAAACAAACCAUUCACAUAAAAAAUAUUAAGCCCGAACUCGCACAUGACCCACAGAUUAGAUAUGUUAAUUUAGAUUUUUUAAAUUAAUUUAAAAUAAUAUUUUUUAAAUUUAUUUUAAUAAAAGUUAAAACGAUAUUUUAAAAAUAGAAAAAAAAUUAAGGUUGUGAAUUGAUCAGGAUUGAGUUAAUCUAAUAACUACAAACAAAGUUUUUUAUGAAAAUCAAGCUCAAUUAAUAUGAUCUUAAUCAGGACUACAUUAUGAUAAAUAACUUGGGAAACAAACAUGCCAUUUACACGGGCCAAGUCUAUAAGAGCUAGACCAUUUAAGAUUGAAGUACUGGUUAGUAAUUAUUUAUUAAGCACAUAUUUUGAAUAAUAAUUCUUUGAUUCUACUCGUUACUCUUGAGCAUGGAAAAGGAAAAAAAAAAAAAAGGAUUCAAGUAUUUGAAGCCUUGUUGUGCAUGUUGUAACACAUGAUGUUUUUCUUUCCGAACUGAUAAAGACUCAGUCCUUGUAAUCAAUCUGUUACUCAAUUGGAAAAGUUGAAGAAAUCAUCAUUUGACUCGAAAUUUAGAGUAUCAACCCAGAAGAUGAUCUAGACAUGUCUGAAAUGACAGCAACUACAGAUUAUUCAAUACAUGGUAGAUAGGUUACAUUCAUUGGCCUUAGUUUCUGGAUAUAUAUAUAUAUAUAUGUGUGUGUGUGUGUGUGUGUGUGUGUGUGUGUCCAAAAAGGAUUUAGAUUGUGCUGAUAAAUGAUGAAGGAUCAGGAGGAAUAGAGACUUGAACAGCUCCUUCUAGCAUCUGCACAACUUUCUUCAUUCCAGGUCUUAAAGAUGGAUCCUCAUGAAUGCACCAAAUUGCAACCAUCACAAACCUCUCUACCCUUUUCAUGUCUUCAGUUGCCUCUUCAUCUUCUUCUACUAAAAGGUUCAACUUUCCUUCUUUAAGGCAAUCACAGGCCCAGUCUGCAAGAACUAUCUGAUGUUCUUGCAUCGCAUUAAUCUCAAAGUUCUUUCUGCAGCAAACUAGCUCCAGCAAGAGAAUGCCAAAGCUGUAGGUAUCUACUUUGGUUGUCACUGGCAGGUUCUUGAACCAUUCAGGAGCUACAUACCCUUU
rnacentral:lncRNA from 1 species